ACAAGUACCGUGAGGGAAAGUUGCAAAGCACUUUGAAGAGAGAGUUAAAGAGGACGUGAAACCGAUGAGGUGGAAACGGACAGAGCUGGCGUAUCUGGCCUGCAUUCAGCCGUUGCGGUGUCGGCCCCACGGUUGCUUCCUCUCCAGAUUGGACGGGGUGGCUUGGGCGCUGGCGUUGCGGUGGUGCAUUUGCAGGUGGAGUGCGCCGAGGCGCUCGGCUCAGCGGCAUGAGCUCGGCUUUGAGGCCAACCGCGCAAGCGGUCUGGUACCCGGGUCGGGGGAGUGCUGUUUGGGCUGUGCGUUCGCCUGUGGGUUGUGGUUUCGGGCCAGGGUGGGUGCCGAGCCGGCGGUCGGCGGCGGUCGCAUGCGACACGUGCCAGCAGUCGGUUCGGUCCUGCUCGAGCUCUCAACGGCCCGGCCUCGGUGUAAAAGCCGGUCAUCUGUCCGACCCGUCUUGAAACACGGACCAAGGAGUUUAGCGUGUGCGCGAGUCAUUGGGCGUUGAAAACCCAAAGGCGCAAUGAAAGUGAAGGUCUGCCUUGUGCAGCUGAUGUGUGAUCCUGGGUGCCGCGGUGCCCGGGCGCAACAUAGUCCCGUCCCGACCGCUUGCGGUGGGGCGGAGACAGAGCGUACGCGCUGAGACCCGAAAGAUGGUGAACUAUUCCUGAGCAGGAUGAAGCCAGAGGAAACUCUGGUGGAAGUCCGAAGCGAUUCUGACCUGCAAAUCGAUCGUCUGACUUGGGUAUAGGGGCGAAAGACUAAUCGAACCAUCUAGUAGCUGGUUCCUUCCGA
rnacentral:rRNA from 1 species